AUUCUCAUAUACCAAACCCCCAUUCUCAAAUACCCGACAACCCCGCCGAGUCGCCUGUGCCACACACACAAGCCAAACUAUAAUCUAUCAAGCAAACAAACCGGCAAUGGAUAUGGAAAAGCGAUAGGUGGACUAGCAUGGUCAAGCGACAAUGAACGCAGAGAAUAACCCGGAACUGAUGCCACAGGUCUGGUCCCCGGGAGAAACUUCCACCCAAUGACUCGCUUCGUAAGACGCUCAGAAUCUGCUACUGAAACAAAAAACAGCCAUACCAACAGGUUCCCAUGCAGGCACAACAACUGUUUGACAACGUUUGAGACGUUAAACGAGUGGCGAGAGAAAAGAUGAACAGAGAAG